CAGGGAGUCACCAUCUUCAUCCCAACCCGCCCUCUCACUCUCUCUCACACACACACACACUCUCUCUCACAGACUAUCUUCAUCCCAACCCCCGUCUUACUCUCUCACACACACAUUUUCUCUCUCUCUCACACACACACACACUCUCUCUCACAGACUAUCUUCAUCCCAACCCCCGUCUUACUCUCUCACACACAUAAACACAUGGCCCAAACAACCCCAAACCACACACAGACGGUUGCCGGCUGGGCGGCCCAUGAUUCCUCCGGCAAGAUUACUCCUUACCUCUUCAAACGAAGAGAAAACGGUAUCAAUGAUGUGACCAUUAGGAUCUUGUAUUGUGGGAUAUGCCACACCGAUCUUCAUUUUGUCAAGAAUGAUUGGGGUAUCACCAUGUACCCUGUCGUCCCCGGUCAUGAAAUAACCGGAGUGAUAACAAAGGUGGGAAGCAAUGUAAAGAAUUUUAAGGUAGGAGACAGGGUAGGGGUUGGAUGCUUGGCCUCUUCGUGUCUGGAGUGUGAGUUCUGCCAAGACUCUCAAGAGAACUACUGCGACCAGAUUCAGCUCACUUACAAUGGCAUUUUCUGGGAUGGUAGCAUCACCUAUGGUGGCUACUCCAAAAUGCACGUUGCUGAUCACAGUUGAAGGUAGCAAGCUGAAAAAUCUGUUUUGCGGACCGAAAAUUUGGGGCGAUUUCAUUUCGGUGGUAAUUGGGAUUUUCAUUCCAAUUGAGGUACAGGACUCGGGAUUUGAAGAUUCCAUUGCUCCUUGGAUGGCUUACAGUUUCUAAGUUUCUAUUUUAUGCAAGUGUUAGCAUAAAAUGCCUCUUUGUAGCCCUAUUUGUUUAAACUUGUAUUCGUUGAUUCAUAUAUGUAAGGUGUACGUAAGUGCACUCUUUUCAAUAUAUUUAACAUGUAUGAGAUGAGGCCGGAGGCCAAUCACAUGUAUCUCGUUUUCUAUGCACUUUUGUUUUCAAAGUUUAUUAUGAAAA